rnacentral:rRNA from 1 species
UCAUACAGGGGGAUAACAGUUGGAAACGACCGCUAAUACCGCAUAACCCGCUAGUAUCGCAUGAUACAGACGGAAAAGAUUUAUCGGUAUGAGAUGGACCCGCGUCUGAUUAGCCAGUUGGCAGGGUAACGGCCUACCAAAGCAACGAUCAGUAGCCGGCCUGAGAGGGUGAACGGCCACAUUGGGACUGAGACACGGCCCAAACUCCUACGGGAGGCAGCGGUGGGGAAUAUUGCACAAUGGGGGAAACCCUGAUGCAGCGACGCCGCGUGAGUGAGGAAGUAUUUCGGUAUGUAAAGCUCUAUCAGCAGGGAAGAAAAUGACGGUACCUGACUAAGAAGCCCCGGCUAACUACGUGCCAGCAGCCGCGGUAAUACGUAGGGGGCAAGCGUUAUCCGGAUUUACUGGGUGUAAAGGGAGCGUAGACGGUUAAUCAAGUCAGAAGUGAAAACCCAGGGCUCAACCUUGGGACUGCUUUUGAAACUGAGUAGCUAGAGUGCAGGAGAGGUAAGCGGAAUUCCUAGUGUAGCGGUGAAAUGCGUAGAUAUUAGGAGGAACACCAGUGGCGAAGGCGGCUUACUGGACUGUAACUGACGU